GAUGAACGCUAGCGGGAGGCUUAACACAUGCAAGUCGAGGGGCAGCAUAGGGUAGCAAUACUCUGAUGGCGACCGGCAAACGGGUGAGUAACGCGUAUGCAACCUACCCUGUACAGGGGGAUAACCCGGAGAAAUUCGGACUAAUAUCCCGUAAUAAUAUCCGGAGGCAUCUUUGGAUAUUAAAGUUCCGACGGUACGGGAUGGGCAUGCGUAACAUUAGCUGGUUGGUAAGGUAACGGCUUACCAAGGCUAUGAUGUUUAGGGGUCCUGAGAGGGUGGUCCCCCACACUGGUACUGAGACACGGACCAGACUCCUACGGGAGGCAGCAGUGAGGAAUAUUGGUCAAUGGGCGCAAGCCUGAACCAGCCAUCCCGCGUGCAGGAAGACGGCCCUAUGGGUUGUAAACUGCUUUUCCAGGGAGAGAAACUUGCGCACGUGUUGCGCAAUUGACGGUACCCUGGGAAUAAGCAUCGGCUAACUCCGUG
rnacentral:rRNA from 1 species